AUGCCAUGGUGUGUGCAUUGUCUUUACAAAUCCUUGUAUCUUUGCCAUGCCUCAUAGAGAGACUCCUAUAUAUGUUGUUAAAAAUCAAAUAUCUCAUUUAUGAACAU
rfam:Beta vulgaris subsp. vulgaris chromosome 9, whole genome shotgun sequence.